GUUAGGAAUAUUGGACAAUGGGCGCAAGCCUGAUCCAGCCAUGCCGCGUGAGUGAUGAAGGCCUUCGGGUUGUAAAGCUCUUUAGUCCACGAAUAUAAUGACUGUAGUGGAAGAAUAAGCCCCGGCUAACUUCGUGCCAGCAGCCGCGGUAAUACGAAGGGGGCGAGCGUUAUUCGGAAUCACUGGGCGUAAAGCGUGCGUAGGCUGUUUUGUAAGUCAGAAGUGAAAGCCCAGGGCUUAACCCUGGAAUUGGUUUUGAAACUACAAGACUCGAAUUCGGGAGAGGAUAGCGGAAUUGUCAGUGUAGCAGUGAAAUGCGUAGAUAUUGACAGGAACACCAGUGGCGCAAGCGGCUAUCUGGACCGAUAUUGACGCUGAGGCACGAAAGCGUGAGAAGCAAACAGGAUUAGAUACACGUGUAGUCC
rnacentral:rRNA from 1 species